UGCGUAGGUGGUUUCUUAAGUCAGGAGUGAAAGGCUACGGCUCAACCGUAGUAAGCUCUUGAAACUGGGAAACUUGAGUGCAGGAGAGGAAAGUGGAAUUCCUAGUGUAGCGGUGAAAUGCGUAGAUAUUGGGAGGAACACCAGUGGCGAAGGCGACUUGCUGGACUGCAACUGACGUUGAGAUGCGAAAGCUAGGGGAGCAAACG
rnacentral:rRNA from 1 species